CAGCCGCCGCGGGAAUACGUAGGGUGCGAGCGUUAAUCGGAAUUAUUGGGCGUAGAGCGUGCGCAGGCGGUUAUAUAAGACAGAUGUGAAAUCCCCGGGCUCAACCUGGGACCUGCAUUUGUGACUGUAUAGCUAGAGUACGGUAGAGGGGGAUGGAAUCCCGCGUGUAGCAGUGAAAUGCGUAGAUAUGCGGAGGAACACCGAUGGCGAAGGCAAUCCCCUGGACCUGUACUGACGCUCAUGCACGAAAGCGUGGGGAGCAAACAGGAUUAGAUACCCGUGUAGUCCCUGUCUCUUAUAC
rnacentral:rRNA from 1 species